rnacentral:piRNA from 1 species
UGGCAGCUUCAGUCUGCAGUGCUUGUGAC